GGAGGAUGAACAGGUAUGGUUUGCUGGAUGAGAGCCAAAACAAGCUCGAUUACGUUCUUGCCCUCACUGUUGAAAACUUCCUUGAACGUCGUCUCCAAACACUCGUCUUCAAAACUGGAAUGGCCAAAAGCAUACAUCAUGCUAGAGUCCUCAUCAAACAAAGGCACAUCAGGUAACAACUUCGACCUCACUCCACUCUUCAAUGGCUUCCAAACAUCUUCUCUAAGUUCAUUUUCAUGAUUUUUUUUUCUGAAUCACUAGAGUUGGAAGGCAAGUUGUGAAUGUUCCAUCGUUCAUGGUGAGGGUGGAUUCACAGAAGCACAUUGAUUUCUCACUCACGAGUCCAUUUGGAGGUGGGAGACCUGGUAGAGUUAAGCGAAAGAACCAGAAAGCAGCUGCAAAGAAGGCUUCAGGUGGUGAUGCUGAUGAAGAUGAUGAAGAAUGAGAGCAUUUGAGUAGUAGUUCUUGUGUUUGAUCUUAUUUGCCACCAUGAGGUUUACAAGUGAGUGUUUUGUUCUUUGUUU
rnacentral:lncRNA from 1 species